UACGUAGGGGGCUAGCGUUGUCCGGAAUCAUUGGGCGUAAAGCGCGUGUAGGCGGUUCGGUAAGUCCGCUGUGAAAGUCAGGGGCUCAACCCUCGGAUGCCGGUGGAUACUGUCGAGCUUGAGUACGGAAGAGGCGAGUGGAAUUCCUGGUGUAGCGGUGAAAUGCGCAGAUAUCAGGAGGAACACCAAUUGCGAAGGCAGCUCGCUGGGACGUUACUGACGCUGAGACGCGAAAGCGUGGGGAGCAAACAGG
rnacentral:rRNA from 1 species